rnacentral:rRNA from 1 species
UGGGGAAUAUUGGACAAUGGGGGCAACCCUGAUCCAGCCAUGCCGCGUGAAUGAUGAAGGUCUUUGGAUUGUAAAAUUCUUUCGCUAGGGAAGAUAAUGACGGUACCUAUUAAAGAAGCUCCGGCUAAGACCCUGCCAGCAGCGGCGGUAAUACGGAGGGGGCUAGGGUUGUUCGGAAUUACUGGGCGUAAAGCGCGCGUAGGCGGAUUGUUAAGUCAGGGGUGAAAUCCCGGGGCCCAACCCCGGAACUGCCCUUGAUACUGGCAGUCUUGAGGACGGAAGAGGCAAGUGGAAUUCCGAGUGUAGAGGUGAAAUUCGUAGAGAUUCGGAGGAACACCAGUGGCGAAGGCGACUUGCUGGUCCGUUUCUGACGCUGAGGCGCGAAAGCGUGGGGAGCAAACAGGAUUAGAUACCCCUGUAGUCC